rnacentral:lncRNA from 1 species
CCUCUCACCUGAGGCAGUAACCAAGCUCACUAAGAAGGCUGAUUAACCCCCUCUCUGAAAUAAGAUUAGGGUUUAAAGUGUGCAUUUUUUAAUGAAAAGGAAAACUCUAAAUUUAAGGCAGUCAUGCUUCUUGUAGGGAGGUCAAAGAUUUAUGUCCAUGCUGCAGAUAUAAAGGAUGAAGUUGUAGGGCAGGAAGUCUUAUGUAACUUGGAGCAGCUACUCAAUGGAAAUCACAAACAGAAUGAGUUUCAUCCACAUGUCAAGACACUACUACCAACAGAGCUAUUUCAGGACACCUACCUAAAUAACUAGCUGUCUCUUCCACUUAAAGCAAGGAGAGUCUUCUCUUAUCUUCAAGAAGAAUAAAAAGUGAAGCUGACAUUACUUGGAAAGAGAAUAAACAAAAUCUGUCAUGAGGACUGCAGGGAUGAAUGACACAAACCAGCCAUUUCUUUGAGAGUCAGGAAAUAUCUAGUUUAUACAAUAAGCUGAUCUACCAAUAAAAUACAAUUGGUGUUGAAAUAU